rnacentral:ncRNA from 1 species
UCACGAACCUGAUGAAAAGGGAAUCCGGUGAAAAACCGGAGCUGUACCCGCAGCUGUAAGUCCCAUCCGCUAUUGCGGUUUGUGUUGUUAAACUACAGGCCACUUCUUCGAAAAUUAAACGAAGAGGGAAGGCAUUAACAACCGGGAUAAGCCAGAAGACCUGCCGGAAUUUGUA